UACGAAGGGGGCUAGCGUUGCUCGGAAUUACUGGGCGUAAAGCGCACGUAGGCGGUCUUUUAAGUCGGGGGUGAAAUCCUGGAGCUCAACUCCAGAACUGCCUUCGAUACUGGAAGACUCGAGUCCGGGAGAGGUGAGUGGAACUGCGAGUGUAGAGGUGAAAUUCGUAGAUAUUCGCAAGAACACCAGUGGCGAAGGCGGCUCACUGGUCCGGUACUGACGCUGAGGUGCGAAAGCGUGGGGAGCAAACAGG
rnacentral:rRNA from 1 species